rnacentral:rRNA from 1 species
UACGGGGGGGGCAAGCGUUGUUCGGAAUUACUGGGCGUAAAGGGCUCGUAGGCGGCCAACUAAGUCAGACGUGAAAUCCCUCGGCUUAACCGGGGAACUGCAUCUGAUACUGGAUGGCUUGAGUUCGGGAGAGGGAUGCGGAAUUCCAGGUGUAGCGGUGAAAUGCGUAGAUAUCUGGAGGAACACCGGUGGCGAAGGCGGCAUCCUGGACCGGCACGUGACGCUGAGGAGCGAAAGCCAGGGGAGCAAAGCGGGGAUUAAGAAACCCGGA